rnacentral:rRNA from 1 species
UACGUAGGGCGCGAGCGUUGUCCGGAUUUAUUGGGCGUAAAGAGCUCGUAGGCGGCUUGUCGCGUCGUCUGUGAAAUCCCGUGGCUCAACUGCGGGCUGGCAGUCGAUACGGGCAGGCUGGAGUUCGGUAGGGGAGACUGGAAUUCCUGGUGUAGCGGUGAAAUGCGCAGAUAUCAGGAGGAACACCGGUGGCGAAGGCGGGUCUCUGGGCCGAUACUGACGCUGAGGAGCGAAAGCGUGGGGAGCGAACAGG